CCAUGGCGCCUGUUUAUCAAAAACAUGGUUUUUUGGGUGAAUAAAAAAUCUAACCUGCUCGGUGCUUAGGUAAAUGGCCGCAGUAAUUUGACUGUGCUAAGGUAGCAUAAUCAUUUGUCUUUUAAAUGGGGGCUUGUAUGAAAGGUUGGUCGAAGGAAAGACUGUCUCUUUAUUAGUUAAUGAAUUUAAUUAAUAGGUAAAAAGGCUAAUAUUAUUCUGAGGGACGAUAAGACCCUAUUGAGCUUAAUUUAAUAAUUUUACUGGGGAGGUAGUAUAAGAGUAUGAUCUUAUUUACGAGGAUAAUAAUGUUAGGACCCAAUAUUAUUGAGGGAAAGAUAAAGCUACCAUAGGGAUAACAGCUUAAUUUUUUUCUAAAGUUCUUAUUUAGAAAAAAGAUUGAGACCUCGAUGUUGAAUUAAGAUGUCUUUUAGGUGAAGAAGCUUAAAAAGAGAGUCUGUUCGACUCUUAAAAUUUUACGUGAUCUGAGUUCAGACCGGCCAUGG
rnacentral:rRNA from 1 species